UUGCUUCAGGCUGAACUCAAAGCCUAGGUGUGUGUUGCUUCAGGCUGAACUCAAAGCCAAGAGUGUUGCUCUGAAGGAGCUGAGUUCAGAGUACACAUCUCUGAAGGGAGAGCAGGGCAGCAGAGAGGACUGGAGCAACACACUCACCUUACUGAGGGUGCGCUAUGAUGACAUCAGAAAUAAGUACAAUGUUCUCCUGAGAAAGAGUCAGACGGAUCUGGACAUAGCUCCUCUAAAGGCCAAGCUGUCAUGCCUGGUGGUGAAGUGCCAGCAGAGGA
rnacentral:lncRNA from 1 species